rnacentral:rRNA from 1 species
UACGGAGGGGCUAGCGUUGUUCGGAAUACUGGGCGUAAAGCGUGCGCAGGCGGCUUUGCAAGACAGAUGUGAAAUCCCGGCUUAACCUGGGAACUGCAUUUGUGACUGCAUGGCUGGAGUGCGGCAGAGGGAUGGAAUUCCGCGUGUAGCAGUGAAUGCGUAGAUAUGCGGAGGAACACCGAUGGCGAAGGCAAUCCCUGGGCCUGCACUGACGCUCAUGCACGAAGCGUGGGAGCAAACAGG